UAGGGAAUCUUCCACAAUGGGCGCAAGCCUGAUGGAGCAACACCGCGUGAGUGAAGAAGGGCUUCGGCUCGUAAAGCUCUGUUGUUAAAGAAGAACACGUAUGAGAGUAACUGUUCAUACGUUGACGGUAUUUAACCAGAAAGUCACGGCUAACUACGUGCCAGCAGCCGCGGUAAUACGUAGGUGGCAAGCGUUAUCCGGAUUUAUUGGGCGUAAAGAGAGUGCAGGCGGUUUUCUAAGUCUGAUGUGAAAGCCUUCGGCUUAACCGGAGAAGUGCAUCGGAAACUGGAUAACUUGAGUGCAGAAGAGGGUAGUGGAACUCCAUGUGUAGCGGUGGAAUGCGUAGAUAUAUGGAAGAACACCAGUGGCGAAGGCGGCUACCUGGUCUGCAACUGACGCUGAGACUCGAAAGCAUGGGUAGCGAACAGGAUUAGAUACCCUGGUAGUCCAUGCCGUAAACGAUGAGUGCUAGGUGUUGGAGGGUUUCCGCCCUUCAGUGCCGGAGCUAACGCAUUAAGCACUCCGCCUGGGGAGUACGACCGCAAGGUUG
rnacentral:rRNA from 1 species